AAUUAGGCUACUAUACUAUCUAUAGUACCGGAGCUCCGGUACUAUAGUCUUGUUUUCGAUCUUAGGGUGUUUAAAUUAAUGAUCCACACCAUUAAAUAUAAUCUAGGGUAUAUGAAGUUCUUAGGAAUAAAAUUUUAGUUUUUUUCGACAUCGUUUACUUAGUAAAUAAAUUAUGUUAAAAUGGACGGUGGAAAUUGAAUAAUCUUUUAAAAUUUGAGCAUAGGACUUUUAAAUUUAAGAUCAAGAAUGUUAACCUUAAUCUAGAUAGUUUAAAGUAUUUUCUAUCAAAAUUUGAAGAAAUUUAGAUUCUUCUACACCGUUAAACUCCAAACUCGCCAUAGUAGCCAUUGAAAAUUGAUAAUUUUGAAAUAGUUUGAUCAUAAAGUAAACUAUGUCGAAAAAAUAUAAAAUUUUAUUUCUAAAAACUUUAAAUACCCUAAAUCAGUUUUAACGGUGUGGAUCAUUGAUUUGAACACCCGAACAUCAAAAACGGGACUAUAGUACCGGAGCCCCGGUACUAUAAAUAGUAUAGGAGACUAGCUCUUUAUAUAUAUAUAUAUAUAUAGAGAGAGAGAGAGAGAGAGAGAGAGAGAGAGUUGAGCUAGAAUACUCUCAAAAGCACCAAGGGGUUGGUGCUUUUAAGUUUUUAGCCAUCGGAUGGAGAUGUAGGGUUGAGAUGAUGGUAGUAGGUGGAGGUAGGUGGUGGUAGGUGGAAUAGUGUUUGAUCCGAAGAUUAUUAGUAAUCAAGGAAUAGAUCCAAGGACUAGAAACUCAAAAGCACCAAGGGGUUGGUGCUUUUGAAAGUAUUCUAGCUCAAUUACAUAUAUAUACAUACAUAUACAUACAUAUAUAUACAUACAUAUAUAUAUAUAUAUUAUAUANNNNNNNNNNNNNNNNNNNNNNNNNAAAUGAGAGAGAUUACUCCUUGUGGAUUUCUGGGGUAUUUAACGCUUGCUUCGUGCCUGUCGUACCUCCUGAAAAAAACUAUGGUUGCUUUAUCUUCAAUCCCCCUUUUCCCUCCCCAAGGUGAUAUAGACGAGGAUUUGAUUUGGAGCUCGGCGAUAGGACAUCUAGCUGUCUGUAUAGCGAUCGCCAACCAUGUUGUAUUUCUUCCCCCGCGCUUUUGGUAGUCAUUUUAAAAUAAAUGUUCAGUUAGAUUUUGAUUUUAAUUUCCGUUAUGCAUGAUUAGAUGAUCAUAUGAAUUGCUUUGAAUGAGUUGGUUUUCCUCGUAUCAGUGAAUGUUAUGGAUGGUAAAUUAUACAUUGAGAUUGAAGUUUCAAAAAUAUGUGGUUUGUAUCUUAGUUCAUAUUGAUUUAUGACGCUUUGGAUUCUAUACCUCCUCGAGUACUGGUCUUUCAAAAAAUAGAGUUUCCGUGUGGAAACAUUUAAAAGAGAUUUUCCGAAUGAUUUCAUGAUAAGUGAAUUAGAGUUUAAAACAAAAGCUUCCUAAUGGGAGCACUUUUAAAUAGGAAUGAUUGUUGUACUAGUGCAUUGGCAUCAUCCAGCAGCGGCUAAAGGAAGUGCUUAGUAGCCAUGCAUCAUCUCUAAGAUUUAUUAGAUGUAUGAAAAUGCAUAUCAAUUUUUGGUUGUUGAUUGUAAAUUUAUGUGUUGUGGUUGUAUCAUCAUGUUAUGUUGGAACGGGCCGUGCUAAAUAAAUAAAGGAACUUGGGCCGGAGUGGACCAGAUACUUUGGUAUUUGUGCGGGUCUGUAAUACGUUACGUUGGCUGGUGAAAAAAAAAAAAAGUCAACAUCUCCGCGACUUAGUUUGUUAAAAAAUGGUAAGGUGUAAACUUUCAAAUGGCUUUAUGAAAAAUCGGCCUCGGGCGUGAACAAUAAUGGUGAUUGAUAUAUAUAUAUAUAUAUAUAUAUAUAUAUGUAUGUAUAUAUAUGUAUAUAUAUAUAUAUAUGUAUAUAGGUCGAUAAACUCUAGGAAGAUUAAAGAACUUGACAAUUGGAAACAAGAACUAGAUGUCAUGAAUCAUAGGUGUGGACAACUAGGAUGCAAAUAACAUAGGUUGGACAUGAACCUAGUAUCAUUGAACAUAGAUUUGACAUGAAUCUAGUGUUGUAGAACCUAAAUUAUGGAAUAUAGUGGUAGGAUGACUACUAGGAUAUGAAUAAUAUGAACCUAGAAAGGUUGACAACAUAGGGUAUGUGGUGGACGUAACUACAACAAAAUUGAUUUUUUGUGGCGAAUAAAAUCGCCACAAAAAUAUAAAUUUUCGCCACAAAAAUAAUUUUGUGGUGAAAAUAAUUUCGCUACAGGGUCGCCACAGUAAGACCGCUACAAAAGGUUACGGUGGCCAAAACAAUUUCGCCACAAAAAAUACAUACUUUUUGUGGCAAUUUUAUUGGACACAACUGUUUUCAAAUUCGCCGCAAUAAAGAAUCAAAUGGCCAUAAAUAUGUAUAGAAACAAUAAGAAAAUAUAUGAUAUUUUGUGAGCAAAAUAGUUUUGGCCACAAAUAGUAACAUAUAAUUUAUGGCAAAGUUUGAAAAUGGCCACAACUAGCAUUGAUCAUAUAGCGGCGAAAAUUACUGUUUGAACACAAAUAAUUCUUAUUUUGUUAUGGCAAAUUUUAAAAAUGGCCACAACUAGCAUUGAUCUUCUAGCGGCAAAAAUUACUGUUUGGCCACAAAUAAUCCUUUACAUAUUGUGGCAAAUUUUAAAAAUGGCCACAACUAGCAUUGAUCAUAUAGCGGCGAAAAUUAUUGUUUGGCCACAAAUAAUCCUUUACAUGUUGUGACAAAUUUUAAAAAUGGCCACAACUAGCAUUGAUCAUAUAGCGGCGAAAAUUACUGUUUGGCCACAAAUAAUCCUUUACAUGUUGUGGCAAAUUUUAAUAUCGGCCACACAUAGCAUUGUUAUUUUUAUGACGAUAUUUGACAUUUGGCCAUACAAGAUUUACUACAUAUUAUGGCAAAACUCUAUAUGGCUACAAAUAAUAUUAUAUAUUUUAUGGCAAAGUAUAUUUUUGGACAUAAAUAGUUAUCUGUAAUUUGUGGCAAAAUUUAAUUUUGGUCACUUUAAAGUUUUCAGGUUUUAUUACUAUUAUAUAAAAAAUUAUGACUAUUUAUUAUUUGGCCACAGAAGUUUUGCAAUACUAUUUAAUAUUUUACAUUUGUAAUAAAAAAAAUUACACAUAAUCAAUAUGUCAUAACUAUUUAAUACUCCUCAAUCAGUAUUUAAACAAACUAUUAAUCAUAACAAUUAAGAUAUAUUCACUAAAAUGUAUAAAGUAGUUCAAUUAGCACAACUAAAAUAAACCUACUUCAAAUGUUCACAUCAAGCAUGUAUAAAACCACACGUUUCAAUUCCAUCCAAAUUUAAUCUAAUACUGGUAAAUUUUAGAACUAAGAUAGAAAAAACUCUAGAAAAAAAAUAAAAUAAAGUUCUUGAGACAAUCCAAAGUUCUUGAGACAAUUCAAGUCCAAUAUGUUGAGCUACUAGGUUUAAUCCUGUAAAAUGAGAAAAAAAAAUGAUUAGAAUUAUGAAUAUAAUCUAUAUACUUAUUCAAAAUAAUAAAAGGUACUAUUAACUAAUAUUUAAAACAUAUCAAGUCAAAAAUACUAUAAGAUUAGAUUAACACUUUAAGCAUGUAUUUUAAAAUUAAACAUAACAAACACAAUUACCUAUUUCUAACACACCAAAUAAUUUAACUUGCAAUUAUUCAACUCAUUUUAUUGAAACAAACUAACUUACAUUCUCUUUUGAUGCUUGUCGAGUAGGAAUGGACAAUCCCAUUUGUGAAAGUAGCUCUAUCAGGCUACGCAUCUAAGAUUGCAUCUCAACACGUAUCUGUGCUUGUAUUUCAGCAAUUCGUGUCUCAGCUUCUCUUUCCCUUUGGCUGAUUCGUUUCUCCACUUCGGUUUGAAGUCGUACAACCAUUUCUUGUUUCAUUUCUGCUCGUAUUUGUGCACGAAUCCUUUGUCCUCUAGUACCGCCACUUUCCAAAGGAUUAGGACCUGAGCCCAUACCACGGAUAUAGCUAGAUCGAUGGCCAAGUACUAAUGUAUAUGCUCGUUCUGUAGAGAGCGUGUCCUUUCCGUACUGUCUUAAUUGGUCGCCAUGAAGUUCUUCCAUUCGCUUAUAUGCAUCUUCAGCAUCUUUAUCAACCCAACUACCAUUUCUUUUCCUUCUCACUUUUUCCAGAGUCUCAUAUAUUCAGGCUUUUGCUCUAGCUCUUGUACUUGCUAGGAAAGUGGAUUCCGGAAUUCCUAGGAUUGUUGGCUGCAAGUACGUGUGGUUCUCCUCGCUCGGCAGCAGAUUAUACUUACGAGUAUGUGUGGUUCUCCUCGCUUGGCAAGUGAGUCAUAAUUGUUGGUAUGUGUGGUUCUCCUCUUCCGGCAAUGAUUCAACGGGUAUGUGUGGUUCUCUUUGCCCGGUAUGCGACUUGUGGUCAAGGGUAUGUUGGUAUUUCCUCGCCUGACAGAUGACCUAUAUUCGAGUGGAUUUAAGGCUGAGGUGCAUGUGAGAUGUUCUUCACCUGGUGCCUAGACAAUGAGCAAUAGUCCGCUGGUAAUAUAUAUUGACUCAUGACCGAGUCAAGUGGUAUAGCUUGGCUAAGGUAAAUGAACCUAAGAAGUGGAUUGUAAAUGAUAUGAGUAGUGAAAUAAAAAGUUGAAAUGGUAGAUCUACUUGUAUUGCAUUCUUGUUGCAUUAUUGCAUUUUGUGAGGCAUACGCAUGUUAGUUGUUAGUUGCAUAAAUUUAUAUGAUAUAUACAUAUCUGUUGGACUAACUUGCUUGUGUUGCCUCCUUUGGACCUAGUGGGUCGAGCUCUUCUCUUUGGUGGUCGUACCCACUGGGAACUAUAUAUAUAGUUCUCAUCCAACGUUUUUCAGGUCAACACGUGAGCGGCGCGGCGACGCGAGGAAAGGGAGCAGCUCGGUAGAUAGUGCCCUGCCACUAAGACCAAAAUAGAAGUUCCACGAGUCAGCACAGCUUAGGGGUAGAGAGAAGAAAAGAAAUAGCUUGUAAUAAUAAGUUGAUUGUAUUUGGAAGUAAGAAAAUUAAAAAAUAUAAUAUGUAAGUUGCAUGUUAUGUGAAUGCUUGUAAUAACAUAGUAUUUAUGUUUUCGAUACCUUCCUUAUGCAAUCUACGUAUGGAUUAUGUUAUUGUUUGGAACCUCAUGAAUUGUGCUGUUGUGAUGCCUUGGACGUACAGGGGAGACUCUGUCCGUUCGGCGGUCUGUCGACGCCUGAAUCUGACCAAAGUGGCGGGUCCCGGACAGUGACACCGUCAGCGGGAGGCUGCGGCGGCGGCGGCGGCAACCCAAAGUGGACCCGCAGCUAGAGCAUCACAAAUCCCUACAUCAGCGGGUUAGGACAACAAAGGGCGGUGUCGGUGGACUCCUUGGGACUUCCGGCGUCGUCCUGUGGUGCACGGCACGGCAGCCACAGCCGAGUAUCUCCCCAUUGCUGUACAAGCUCUAUAGAGUCCUCCUCAGCUGCGAUGGCUCCCUAGGGCAUGGCGGCGUCUGGGAAGCAUCGGGGAUGGCCACCCGAGGUUUGCGGAUGAUGCCGACGGCGGUCUAGGAAGGUAGCGGUGCAGGAACAAGAGGUUCGGUCUCCCACCAUGCACAGACUUUACAAUAUUGGAGAGAGGAAGAGAGAGAAAGAAGAAAAAAAGCUCUUCUUCUUCUCCGAUGGCUAGCGGCAGCGACGGCGGCGGUGGCCGACAUCUCAGGUGGACAAGGAGGAGAGGAGGAAGGUUGGGGUCUAGUGUUCGGAUUCUAAAAUCCCCAAAUCCACAAUCUAAUCCUAUGUACCACUAUUCAUAGGGGAUAAAUGCUCCUAAGUCCUCCAAGGAUCCAAAUUCGCAUUCUAGUCCCUCUCAAUUUGCCCCCGUAAGUUUUCAUGCAAGCCGGAGCACCGAUCACUUCUAAAAAGCAAGAAUAAUGCGGAAUAAAUGUUGUCCCAGCGAUAAAAGCUAUUUUCUCAAAAUUGUGUGUUGAACAUAAAAUGCAUCAACCCCAUUGGCUCCGACACGGUCGGAUCGUUGAAAAUAAGCUAUUGGAUCGUCCAAAACAGAGUCCGAUUCGCGUCCGAAGCCUACCUCUCUCCUCGAUCACAACCGAAAACACUGGUUAGUAUUCAUUUUAAGGAAAAAGUAAUAAUAACAUAAAAUCUUUAUUUAAAUGAUUUCUUGCUAAAAUUUGACGGGCAGUUUUAAAAUUAAAAUGCACACAAUAAGAAUUAAAAUGAUAUCAAAUUUACAUAGGUGAAAAUCUCAGUCCUCACAUCAUCUCCCUCCUUAAAAAAGUUUUGUCCUCGAAACUUGCUUACACCUCUCCUACAACAAAUCUCGUUAUCGAUCUCACAUCACCAACUCUAACCGCCAAGUCACUUCGCGCUCUUUGUGAUCUUACCCACAAAGCCGUAAUGUAAGGAAUCGUCCAAUUCCAUAGUAGCCUUUCUUCACGUGCCAACAUUGCACUGAAGCCUCCUUGAAGCUCAAAUCCUUGUGAGGCUUAAAAGCCAUAGGGUUGAUCACAUGGGAAGAGCCGCAAAUGUACUUGCGAGGCAUAAAGAUAAGGACACAUAGUGCACCCGGGAGAAACUUGGAAGUAGAACCGAUCUGUACGCCAUCGGACCAACACGCUCUAGGAUCACGAACGGUUCCAACAAACCGCAGACUAAGCUCAUUUCGCAAACCGAACCGCUUGAUACCCCUAGACAGCGACACCUUCAAUAGCACAUGCUCACUGACCUGAAACUCUAGGUCAUGCCGUCACUAGUUUGCGUAGCUCCUCUGUCGACUCUAGGUGGUCAACCACCACUUGCUCGUGAUACGAAACCUCAUCUUUGCGUCCUCCAACAAGUCUAGCCCAAACGACCGACAUUCACUGAUAUCAUCCUAAUAGACGGAGGUUCGACAUCGAUGCUCAUACAACACCUCGUAAGGCACCAACUCAAAGCUAGCCUGGUAGCGGUCUUAGUUCGCAAACUCCACAAGAGGCAAGUAUUUGAACCAUCCCUCGCCGUAGUCUAGGACAUAUGCGCUAAUUAUGUCCUCAAGGGUUUGAACAACCCGCUCAAACUGGCCAUCGCUCUGAGGGCGGAAGGCCCUACAGAAAGUUAGCUCUGUUCCUAUAGCCUGCCGCAAGCUCCUUUAGAACUAGGAUAUGAAGCGAGUGUCCCGAUCCGACAUGAUUGACACCGGCACCUUACGCAGUCAAAUGAUCUCUUCGAUGUACGGCUGUGCCAGUCAAUCUCGAGACCAUGCAGUGUGAAAUAGCAGGAAGUGAGCGACUUCAUCAAGCAAUCCCCAAUGACCCAGAUCGCAUCGUGACCCCUCUGUGAUAGCGAUAAUCCUAUGAUGACAUCUAUCAUGGUUUCCUCCUACUUCCACACAGGCAUCGGAAGUGGUUGCAGAUUCUCUGCUGGUCAUUGGUGCUCAAUCUUCAUCUACUGACAUACCAAGUACUGCGCCACGUGGUGUGCAACAUCAAACUUCAUCCCGAGCCACCAGGAAUUCUACUUUAAGUCACGUCACAGCUUGGUUUCGCCGAAAUGAACAGUGUAUGGAGACUAUUGUGCCUCAGAUUGUAUGUCUUUUCUCAGCUUUGAGUUGCCAAGCAUAAAUCACCGGCCCCUAAAGCACAAAAAGCUAUCAAAGUAGAUAGAGAAGUCCAUCCCUUGCCCUACUCGACAUCCGCCAGCACCUUCUACAUGUACGGAUCUGUUUGCUGUGCGAGCACGAUCCACGCCAUCAAGGUGGGCUACACUACCAAAGUCAUCAACUAAGCCGUGGCCCUGGUGGGGACAACCUCUAUCUCCAAAUAAUCGAACUCUUGAGCAAUCCCAUUCAGCAAUCAAGAAGGACACCUGAGCUGAAGCCUGCUUCCAACUAUGGUGAUCCGUGAACACCUUGUAGUGUGUCCGAUAGAGAUAGUGCUUCCAUAACUUGGGGGCCAAAACCACUGUUGCGAGCUCGAGGUCAUGCAUCAGGUAAAUCUUCUCAUAGUCCUUUAGCUAUCAUGAUGUAUAGGCUAUGAACCGAUCCUGCUGCAUGGGCAUGCACCCUAAAUCAAACAGUAAGACAUCCCACUAGACUCCGAAGUUCUCACCCAAGUUGUCCAACAUAUGUCUCGACGAGACCUUAAAAUCUUUGUCGUCCUAAAAGGAACCCUAAUGAUUGAUGUCCUAAGCUACACUAAACGCCGGUCUCAAGGAGACCCAAUGGCACAUGUCACCCAUGAUUGCAUCAUCAUCUCCUACACUAUGACAUUCAUGAUGUGCCAUACUGCACCAUACGCCGUCACUCGCGGUGACUUCUGAGAUAAUAACUAAGCUUAUGUCACAUAUCGGAUAGUUUACAAUCUCCGGUAGCACGACCGAGAUUGCAUGACCUAUCACACCUCUCAGUUGUGCAAAGCACUACUACUGGGCUAGUAGGUGACCAAGCGCCUGACAGAAUAUCAACCAUAUGCAGUGCUCAUAGGUCAGCUGUACAAGUACCGCUUAGGAACUACCGAGGCCUCACCACUGGUCAAAGAUGACCAUGACUCAAGCCUUUCCACAAGACGACCUAUAAAGAUUGUCUAGCAGAAAAUACAUCGACCCAAUCCUAAUACUUCAGAGAGGGAUAGGGUAUUUUCUCCCAAUUUUCAACACUACAUCGUUUGCAGCCAAUGUACUUAUCGAAAGAAAAGCGCAUUACCCGCGGAUCCACCGCCAACAACAAGUUUGAGAAGCGACACAAGGACCAAACCAACCGUUACUUCUAUACCACUCGAAGUGCACCAAAACACCGUCGAAAUAUUGACUCCGCAAGCCGAUUUUCGAAGCUAGACCAGCCUUUGAGCCUACUCCGUAGGAGUCCUACGGCUCUCCACAACAAUAGACGAUAGCCCGCGACAUAAAGUCACUACCCGCACAAGCCAGUGCGAUUGCAACAAGAUUUUCUAACUUUAAUUAACUAGCUACUAACCCUCCGAGAUCCUCAAGUAAUCCCAUGGAGUAGCUCGUGACAUGGAGUAAUCCCAUGGAGUAGCUCGUGACAUGCCAAAAGCUGACCGAUCCCACAACACACCAACAAAGGUGAUGGGCAAUUGCACACGAUGUGUGCGCCACAAGGACCAACGCCAGAACCGCAUCCCAAAGUAGUCCCAAAAUACACCCAUCGAACAUGUGAACCGACAGAUAAUCAAAGCACUUGCACUGAUAAUUCAAUGAGUGACAACCUCACCGCGCAACCCAUGUGCGCAACUCGACGAGAACGUAGUUAACGAGUCGGGCGAACCCGCUCGAAAAUACUAACACUGGCUAUAAUGCCCCGCAUGAGACUCUAUACUAAGUCCUACUAUAACCUUGAUCUAGACUCUCGAUCGGGAGUCAUGCCGCCAUAGCUAGGCAGAUUAGAUCUCACGAACUUACUACAUCCACCUAAAACUGGAUUCACUCCUCUCUUCAUGACACUGUGCCACCAAUAGAAAAUAGGGGGAUGAGGUAGGCAUCAUAGCCCUACCCACCAAACCUGGAGGAACAUUAUUCGUACCUCAGUUGCAGAAGCGAUCGGUAACAAAGCCUCGGGCUGUACAUCACUAGCCCUCGCAGUAGCCCCGGUCGAAGCUGCUCUAGAUACCAUCUCUGCAGAGAUGCUCGCAGUGGCACUCAUACUCUAUGUAGGGAGUGUGGCCUAGGCAACGAUAGAUAAGAUAAUUGCCUCGGCCUAGUAAGUAAUAUCACCUGACCCACAAGGCCUCACCUGAUAGGAGUAGCUACACCUGGUGAACGUCACCCCAUGACUGAAUGUCUGUACUGGUACAUUGCCACCACUCCCGGCUAAGACACAAGUCUGUGCAGAAACCGUAACACGCAUGGAAUAAUAAGCAUGCACCUCGAGACUAUUAAGGCUCGAUCGAUACACCAAGACUCACGUGCCUAUCAUCUUAGGUAUUCCUAUGGGUCAACCUAACUAGUGGUUCAGUUUUAUUUUCAAGAAAAACUGUGAGUAAGUUUGUGGUUGUAACCUUUCGCUCUAAUACCACCUUAAUCUAUCACGCCUCGCGGUCAUUUUUUGAAAGCCAAUUCAAAAACGGACUAUCUUUAUAAAUCAGAGUCAGUGAAAAAUGUCCUUUUUUUUGAAACCUAGACCCCAAAGACGUGCAACAGACCCGCCACAUGUAUAAAAAAUUUUUGAAACAAACAUGCAGAUUCUUCCCUAUAUUAGCAUGGCGUAGCACAUAGUAUAAUUUAAUAAUCAGAUCUCCACUCACACACACAACAAUAAGAUGUAUAAGAAUCAUCAUAUUACAUCAAAUAGCUAGCCGUCCUUAGUCCCAUCCAUUCCACGUUCAUUCACAUUCAUCCUAGAAGUUGAAAUUGUCUCCCAUACGAAGACUUAUUUUCAAAACUUUAGCUCUAUGAAAAAUCUCGAGAAAAUCAUUUAAAAAUAUUUCCCACACAAAAACUAUUAAUUUGAAAAUGCUACCAUGAUAGGUAGAAAACCAACGAUAGAAAUUCGAGUUCAAAACCAUAUGUUUUCAAAAACCACGAAUGUCCAAAACCAUGAGCAUCCAAAAUCCGAGAGUAUACAAUAUCAACUGAACCACAUGUAAGCCUUUACUAAUAGGUGUAAUUGAGUAGCACUAUACUAUCCACAAGUAUAUAUGUCUAUGCUAAGUAUGGAGUAUAAUCAAAUCGUAUGUCGUACAUCGGGAAACUCUAUCUCGGCCCUCUAACUACGGCCUCAUGCAUCGUCCCGACCAAUCCCACCCGCGUCACCUAUGGAAAAAUAGUGGUGAGAAACCAAUAAAGGGUCUCCCAGUAGAUACUGCAAGCCAACGAAGGUAAGCGUACUUACCGAUAACCAGGUACAGAUAAAUAAAGGCCCACAGUAGUAAUGUAAGUGUGAAGAGAGACGAACCGCAAGUAAGCAUGCAAUAAUCGCUACUGUAGCUAUAUGCAUCAACCAGACGGAAAGUCUAAAUGUACCCAAUCUAUACCACCGUGUCAGUUUAAGAAACACAAGCAAGCACAACCGCUUUGUCUGGCGUAUAAACCUAUUAAAUGGCCGCUGGGCUCAUGGGUUGGCAACUAACAACUUUUUCAAAAAAGAACACGUUACUACAGGGGAUCAGACCGUUGGUGUUCGUGAAAUGCUGUUAAGCUGUGGCGAUCGAUGCGAGUAUGAUCAAUAGCCAACCGUCGGCAAAUAGUCAAUAAUUACCGCCCCUCAGGGCACACUGACUAAUAGUUUAUCAAAACAAUACUGGAAUACGAGCACCGACCAUUCAGAUCAACCGAGAUAGGCAAGGUCAACAUCCCCACGAGUAUGCAAGUACCAACCUUUUAGGUCAAUAAGAAAGUAUGAGGUCAACAAUGACUAGAUUAUAAGGGAACCGACCACUGUGGUCAUCUAGGAUGUAUCCACGAGAACCGACCACUCAGGUCAACAAUGAUGCGUCCAAGAGAACUGAUCACUCAAGUCAACAAUGGAGUAUGCAUAAGAACCGAUCACUUAGGUCAACAAUGGUGUGUCUACGGGAACUAACCACUCAGGUCAACAAUGAUGUAUACGAUCAUGCAUAGGCAAUCUCUACCGCUCUAUUUCUAUGUCAUGGCAAACAAAAGAGGAGUAUGCUAAAUAGAGCUAGAAUCAAAGUCAUGUGGUGUAAGGCUCAAGUAUAAGAUAUAUGUAGUAAGUAAGGGAAAAGGGUGGAGGGAACAUCACUGAGCGUGCACCACUGAACCGACUUCGGAUCGAAGUACCCACCUGUGUCGUAGCUGUACCUAGCUCCUGUAGUAUGUAGAACCGUUGAUCAGACCUAUGAUAGGUCCACCGAGUCAAAAACCAAACCUACUAAAUCAAAAGAUAUCGCUCACAAAUACAAAACCACCUACGGAAUCGAUUUUCCAAAAUCAAUUCCCGAACUCGCCGAGAAUCCCAAAAACGCACUAGGAUGCUCGUAGGACCCACAAAAAAUUCCAAAACAAACUGACUCAUGCCGUGAGUUACCUGCUAUCCUAAAACACAUCCAUUUGUGUGUCUAGGCAGCAAGCACAAGCACCAUGGUCAACUCGAUCAUCGCCAGUUGACCGUUUCGCUUCGAGCUUUCGAAAGUGUCCAAUUUGGCACCAAAAACCUUCACUACUCAUUUAGCACCACCGAACACACAAGUCAACCCCGGUGGUGAGCCAAUAAGGCUAGGUAAUGAUUUUUGGGGCGACCACGCAGUCGAAAACUAUACUUUACUGAUGAUUUCGUCGAAAAACGUACCAAAACCCCUCCGCCACUCAUUACUCCCUCCAGAUUUUGAAGGUGGCAGUAGAAACCAGCCAACAAGUCUUGGCAGGGUCUCUAGGGUAUCUAAAUUGCAAAUGUUCAAAAACUGUGACUUAAACCGUGUCCGAUCGGCGAAUUUCUGCCAAACGAUGUUGUGGGACCCAUUUUAACUCCACAACAGCUCCCGGACCUUUGACGAUCAGUCAAGAUGUCGCUAACAGCAUUACAUGCCGUUUGAGGCUGUGCGCAAGGUCCCCAUUGCAUACAACUUGCAAACAACUUAUUUUAGCAUUAAUUACUAUACAAAUAAUUCAUAAACAUGAGUUUCGAGCUCGUUACCAAGAUCCGUUUCGCAACAGAUCCAACCAACUAGUUGAUUUGAUCUGUUUCAAUGUGAUAAUGCUUGUGCUCACUAUCUAGAGCACAAUCGAUGACCAAAAGGCUUCAAAACAGCAGAAACAAGCCUCCAAUUGCUUGAUCCUAGAAGCGGCCAAGUCCCACGCACGCACGGGAGCUUCAUUGAUUGCAGUGAAGGUGAGCACGGGACUCCACGUGAUCCCAAGAGUGCGGUGCUCACAUCUCGGGUGCUUACUGAAUUCUCGGUGGUUGGAAAAGGAAGAUCGUUCGAAUCAGCCUCUGAAAUCUACCCUGGCAGCAUCCAACACAAUGAUAAGGCAGCGUAGAUCUAGCAGCCGAUGGCACAGGAAGGGGAGCUUCGACCAAGGGAGGGUCGCCGCCCUUAAGGGAGUGGGCUAGGACCCCUGGCGGGCGGUAGGAGACAACGACGGUUGGCAUGGCAUGGCAGCGGUACACCAAAGUGGACACAUGGCUAGGGCAUCGCAAAUCCCUACAGCGGUGGGUCGGGAUGGCAAAGGGCGGCGCCGGUGGACUCUUUGGGACCUCCGACGUCGCCAUGUGGCGGCGCGGCAACGGCAGCCAAGUGUCGCCCUAUUGCCGCACAAGCUCUGUGGAGUCCUCCUCAACCGCGGUGACUCCGUAGGGCAUAGCGAUGCCCAGGGAAGCAUCGGGGAUGGUCGCCCGGGGUCUAAGGGUGAUGCCGGCGGCAGUCUAGGUCAGCAGCGGUGAAAGGACAGGGGGCUUGAGCUUCACCCACUUCCCCCCCCCUCCCCCCGGCCCCCCGCCGUUGGUACCCGGUGGUGAGCCAACAAGGCUAGGUAAUGAUUUUUGGGGCGACCAUGCAGUCGAAAACUGUGCUCUACUGAUGAUUUCAUCGAAACGGACUUCGAUUCGGGUUUGAAGCUACCUCUCUCCUCGAUCACAACCGAAAACAUGGGUUAGUAUUCACUUUAAGUGAAAAAUAAUAAUCGCGUAAAAUUUUUAUUUUAAAUUAUUUUUUACUGAAAUUUGAUGAUCAAUUUUAAAAUUAAAAUACACACGAUAAUAAUUAAAAAGAUAUCAAAUUUAUAUAGGAAAAAAUUUUAAUCCUCAAAAAACCUUCCCAUACUGAGGAAAUAUAAUUUUUUUAUCAAAAUAAUUACAUUUCGGAGCAUAAUCGUUCCUCUAAAUUUUUAUUUUUCUCCCAAUUAUCAUUUAGCUUAUCUCCAAAUCUCACCAAAUUACCUCCAACAUUUCCUAACACUCUCCUAGUGCCCUCAAACAAUUUAAUUGCAACAUUUAGAUACUAUUUCACUUGUCAUUUAAAAAUUCAAUAGAUUUUGCCGAAAUUCUCACUUUUUCUUUUACCUGAUUCAAUUCUCACUACCUCUCAUCUUUAAAUCUUCCGAACCUAUUUCUCUAAAUGGUUUUAUCAGUUACUCCACGUCGGGAAUCUGCUUUUGCGACUUUGGUCUUAUAUGUUACAAUACACACACACACACACACACAUAUAUAUAGUGUAGAGCUACUAUGCUAUCAGAAGUAUAGAGGAUUUGAUGCUUUCGAUUUUUGACCGUUGGAUGAAGAAUUAUACGGUCUGGAUGAUUGCGAUCCUCCCUAGGAUUGAGUAGUACCCCAAGGGUUGAGUUGUUCCCACAGGAUAAUAGUAUUAAUUCAAAAAUUAGAAAUGAUUAAAGGGUUGAUCUAAGGGCCAAAAAGUUAGAAGCACCAAAUUCUCUAUACUUUUGAUACAUAGUAGUUCUAGGGCUACUAUACUCCUAUGAGUAUAGAGUCCUUCAUAUUCAUAAGUUGUUUUCGAUGAUGGAGCUUCCGAAUCGAUAAUCCACUCUAUUAAAUAUGAUUUAGAGUAUUUGAAACUUCUAAAAAAUAAAUUUCGUGAUUUUUGAAAUCAUAAUAAAGUCUAUCAACUAGACAUAAAAUGAACGGUCAAAUUGAACGACGUCCUAAAAAUGGAUGAUCGAAUCCUUCAAUUUAAAAUUGGAGUUAUUAAUCUUUAUUUAGAUAGUGAAUAGAAUAUUCUAACAAAAGUUUAACCAAUUCCGAUUCUUUUGCACCAUUAAAGUAGCAAGUAAUAUAUACCGGCUGUUAAAAAUUGUUAGUUUUGAAACAUUUUCAUUGUAAGGUAAAUAAUGUCAAAAAAUUAUAAAAUUUGAUUUCUAAAAGUUUUAAAUGCUCUAGAUAAUAUUUAAUAGUAUGGAUCGUCGAUUCGGAUGCUCUAUCAUCGAAAACAACUUAUGAGUAAGAAUGCAAUCGUACUCAUAAGAGUAUAGUAGCCAGACUCUCUCUCUCUCUCUCUCUCUCUCUCUCUCUCUCUCUCUUUAUAUAUAUAUAUAUAUUUGAAAUUGAGCUAGAAUACUUUUAGAAGUACCAACCCCUUGGUGCUUAUAAGCUUCUAGCCCUUGGAUCUACUCCUUAAUUACUAAUACCCCUUGGACAAAUACUAUUCCACCUACCACCACCUACCACCACCUACCAUCAUCAUCUCAACCCUAAAUCUCUCCAUCCAAUAGUUAAAAACUCAAAAGCACCACCCCCUUGGUCCCCUGGGUGCUUUUGAGAGUAUUCUAGCUCAAAUAUAUAUAUAUAUAUAUAUAUAUAUAUAUAUAUAUAUGAUUCAUAUAUAUAUAUAUAUAUAUAUAGAACUAGGCUAUAAUAUAUAUAGAACUAGGCUGAAUAUAUAUAUAAAUAUAUAUAUAAUAUAUAUAUAUAUAUAUAUAUAUAUAAUAUAUAUAUAUAUAUAUAUUAUUAUAUAUAUAAACUAGGGCUAUAUAUAUAUAGAACUAGGCUGAAAUACUAUCAAUAGCACCAAGCUAUCAACAGCACUAAAUAGUUGGUACUACCAAGCUUUUCACUGUUAGAUCUAUUCCUUUGACCAUUUUCACCCAUUAGAUCAUGCUAUUCCAUCAACCACCCACUAAACUCUAUUAUAGGAUCACUAUCAUUCUAACCACACAUCCCUUCAUUCAAGGACCGAAAAAAUUAAUAGCACAGGUAACUUGGAGCUAUUAAUAGUAUAGUUGCCUCAUUAUAUAUGUAGUCUGGCUUGUGUGCUUUUAGAAGCAGGUGGCCUCCGUGAUAUUAAGUAGUUUCUAACGUUAGGACUUCCAAAUCGAUGAUCGAUUAUAUUAGACUUGAUCUAAAGUAUUUACAGUAUCUAGAAAAUAAAUUUCAUAAUUUUUAGAUAUUAUUACCUAGUGAUCGAAGGAUUGAAAAUCAACUAUUUUAAUGGCUAUUGUAACAUACCGGAUUUUGAUAUAAAAGUAAAAAUAAAUAAAAAUAGUGCGAGAUACUAUUUUUAUUGGAUUUAGAGAAGUAAAAUAUAAGUCAGAAAUGACUUGUGCUGAAAUCGGAAUAAAAAUAGAAGAUUUAGAAUUUUCUGUGAGAAACGGAGCUGAUAUUUUAGUAGAAAAUGCACACUGUCAGAAAAUUAUGAAAAACUAGAGAUUAAGUCGAAAAUAUUUUUAUGAGACUAGAUUUAAAGUUUCAUGUCAAUCCGACACCCGGAAGGUAGAAAAUAAAAUCUGAUUGUUAUCUGCUAGAGAUUACAGUUCGGUAGAGCUUUCGGUGACCAAACAUGGUCGAAACUGAAAGAUUAAAAUUUUUUUGUACUUAUUAAGUAAAACCGAGCUUGACUGUCAAAUUUCAGUACAAACGGACAUUCAGAAGGGCUCCGACGAAAAACGUCAGUUUGUAGCUGCUAAACUGCUAAUGUGAAUAGUGUUGAGAGGCUUUUCUUCUUCCUCCUGCCUCCUCAACCGAGCAGCACACACACACACCACUCACACGCACACAUGGUGGGGAGAGAGAAACCCUCCCUUUCUCUCUCUAGAUUUCUCUCUCAUCUCUCUAGAUCUCUCUCUAAAAAUUUGAGGGUUGGUAGAGAUGAAGCUUGGGAACGCGUUGGAGGUGUCGGUUCGGGUUCUCGUGCGGCCGUUUGAGCGGCGUGCUUUCGUGUCGACGUUCAAAUUUCGAUAAGUAUUUAGGAUUUGGUAAAUCCUUUAUGCUUAGUAUUCUAAUGAUCCCUAGACUACUAAAUGCAUGUUUCUCCAUGAAAUUGUGGGACAUUUGGAGUAUAUGUACAUGCUAGGGCAUAGAAAUGGAGAUUUUUCAUAGAUGUGGUUUGAUCUAAAUUGAACCUAUAUAAACCUAAUUGCUAGGUAUUCCGACACGUUGGCAAAGUCAGUUCGGCGAUUCGUCGAGCCGGUGCGAAGAUAUUAAAGAAACGGACGUUUCGGCUUCAUUUCCACCUGGAGGGCUGAGGCGACGUCCUAAAAUCACGAAAAUGGAUUUGUGGCAUCACGGCAUCAAGCUAUAGACCUAUAAUUUUCGGGGCCGCGAAUCGACGCACGGUUGGGGUGCAGUUGCAAUAUCGGGCUGUGCCGGGCGACGGGUGCCGCGGGAGGCCGAUUGCAAGUGUCGACAAGCAAUCAGAGAGCAAAUCGAGGUGGGUUGUGCUUACCGAAGCGACUAGGUCACCUGCAUGUCAAAGUGGACUAUAAGUUCUUGAUGAUGCAUAUGUAUGGAUAUGAUGGCAUUGUAAAUAUGCUAGAUAGAAAUGUAUGCAUGCAAUAGAUGCUAAAAAUGUAUAAACUGCCAUGAGAUAAAGACAUGAACUAGAAAUGCAAAGUGAAUUGCAUGUGCAUGUUAAUAUUAUGAGAACCAUGCUAGUUAAUAAUUGGAUAAGAAGACAUUGAAAGUAUAUGCUAGUGGAUAGAUUCAUACUGAUAUUCAUGCAUAGUGGAAUAUAUGCUAGACGCAUUUAGCAUUAUGAAAUCAUGUUAGAUAAGAUGCAUGCUAGCAUUGUGAACAUGUGGACUUGGGUCGAUAACUCUAGGGUGUUAGAGAACUCGACAUUGGAAAAUGAGAACGUGUAGCUUUAAACCUCGAUGUGGACAAUUAGGUGUCGAAUAGAUCGAGUGGCAUCGAACCUAGUGUUAUUAAACAUAGGUCGGAUAUGAUCCUAGUGUUGUUGAACCUAGGGUAAAUCAUCAGUGGCAUCUAACCUAGUGUUAAAGAACAUAGGUUGAGAAUGAACCUAGAGUUAACUAAAUCUAGGUGUGUGGCAUUAACCUAGUGUCGAGAACAUAGGCUGAGAAUUGAGCCUAGAGUUAAAGUAAACCUAGGUUAUUUGAUAGAGGCAUUGAACCUAGAGUCAGUUGGACCUAGGGUGGAAAGGACAUCGGACCUAAAUAAGUCAAUACUAUAGGGUUUGAGACCAACCCUUGAGCUAUGUAAAGCGGAUUCUGGAAUCCCAGGAAUUGUGAACUUGAUAGUUCUUGGCCGCGGGUGCAUGUGGCAUGUUCCUCUCCUACCGAAAGAACUUCGAGGAUUGUAAUUGAGCAAGAACAGAGAGCGCUAGGGUGUACGUGGCAUGUUCCUCUCCCUAUCGGGGAUCUCGGCUGCGGGUGUAUGCGGCAUGUUCCUCUCCCACCGGGGGAUCCCUGACCACGGUGUACGUAGAUUUGGGCGAACCGUUGGGUGAUGUGGUUCUUGGCUUGCAGGCUGAGGUGCAUGUGAAGGUUCCUUCACCUCGAGUCGGGCAGAGCGCGGAUUAUCCGCAGUUGAUUGACUCGAGGCCGAGUCGGGUGGCUAGCUGGAAUAAGGUAGACAGAAUCUUGAGGGCUAAUGAUAAAUGUGAUGAAUCUAUGGUAUUAGAAACCUUAGAGGCUAGUUGGAUAUGAGCUAGAUAGCGAGAUAGAAGUAGAAUCAGUAGAUUUAUUUCUGUUGUUGCAUUGUUGCAUAUAGCAUGGCAUUGUUACAUUUGUGAGGCAAAGCAUGGUAAAUGUUAGUUGCAUAUUUAUGAUAUUAUAUCUAUCUGUUGAACUAACAUGUGUUUGCCUCCUUUGGACCUAUUGGUCGAGCUUCUCCCUUGGGUGGCCGUAUUCACUGGGAAUGUAACGACCCAGCCCACUAGCAACAAUAACUCGUUGGGCCCAGUCAACAGCCCAAAAUGCUUAAGCCCAGUUAUUAUUACUAGUGUCUAAGUCUCUUAUAAACCCAAUGACAACCCCUUUCCCAUCCGAUGUGGGACUAUUGGGGUGUCACAGACUCCCCCCGUUAAGGCCCUGACGUCCUCGUCAGUCCAAUCACACACACAGCCCAAGAUCACCAGGCGAUGUGAGACUCGUCUCGCUAGCCCGUCAUCCAGACCCUGGCUCAGCCGAGACUCGCCACACAUGUCCAGCUGGUGAACCGGCUCUGAUACCAAAUGUAACGACCCAGCCCACUAGCAACAAUAACUCGUUGGGCCCAGUCAACAGCCCAAAAUGCUUAAGCCCAGUUAUUAUUACUAGUGUCUAAGUCUCUUAUAAACCCAAUGACAACCCCUUUCCCAUCCGAUGUGGGACUAUUGGGGUGUCACAGGGAACUAUGGAGUUAGUUCUCAUUCCAUGUUGUUUCGGGUGUUACAGGUUCGCACGUGAGCGGCGCGGCGGGGCGAGGCAAGGGCGUAGCUCCAUAGAUAGCGCCCUACCCCAGAGACCAGAGAUAGCGGUACCCCGAGUCAACAUAGCCUAGGGAUAUAGGGAAAAUGAAAGGAACAGAAAUGUAUCAAACUUGUAAAAGAAGUUGUAAUAACUUAUUACAUUUGGGAGUUGAAUGUAAUGUAAAUUGAAAAUUGAGAUGUAAAAUGCAUGUUGUGGGAAUGCAUGUAAUACUUUAGGUGUUUUAUGUUGUUUGAUACUUCCUUAUGCAAUCAGUGUACGAAUACUGUUCCUGUUUGGAACCUCUUGUAUUGUUCUGUUGUUGAGCCUUGAACAUACAGGGGAGACUCUGUCUGCGGUACAGGGGAAACCCCUAUCCGUUCGGCGCUGUCGGCGGUCCGCACCCGGCCAAAUAGGCAGGUGGUCGCGGACUGUGAAAGCUAUGGUAAGCCGUUUGCAAAUUUAAUGGUGUAAAAUUAUUCAAAUCAUAUAAAAUUUGAUGAAAAAUUUUUAUACUAUACAAAAUAAAAUUAAUAUUUUCAUCUAAAAUUUUAGUGUCAUAUUAUCACUUUUGCAAAAAAAUUUUUCCUAACCAUUGAUUUUGAGCCUUUUCGAUUACUAGCUAAAUGUUACCAAAAAAUCAUGAAAUUUAUUUUCUAAAUACUUCUAAUACUCUAGAUAAUAUUUAAUGGAGCGGAAGUUCGAACAUUAAAAUGACUUGCUAGGACGGAGGUCCUCUUCUCUCUACAUUUAUAUCAAUAGCACCAAACUGUGCAGUGCAAAGCUACUAUACUUUCGAAAGUGUAAAGAAGUUGAUACUAUCAAAUUUUUUGCUCUUGCAUAAAAAAUUAUAGAAUUGAGAUGAUAGUGGUCUUCACGAGAAUUUUUUGGCCUCCUAGGAGAAUAAUAUUAAUUCAAUGUUAGAAAUAGUUAAAGAGAUCAAGCCAAGGAUUAAAAAAUUAAAAUACCACACGAGUGGUGCUAUCGAAAGCACCAUAUUCAGACUAUAUAUUAGUUAUUAGUUUAAAAAAUGCCGAUUGUUUUGAGAAUCACACCAAUAUUUUUGUUUUGAAAAAAGAAAGUAGCAAGCUAUUCGUUUCAUUUAUUUUUUAAAUGAACUCAAUUAUAAAAGCAAAGUAAUUAAUUAGGCUUCGAGUUUUAAACCCCAAAUACUAACGAUAAAACUUUUAGCCAAUUAUGCUACAUACGGUCGGUGAAUUAAUCACGCUAAUUUUGAAUUUGAGAAAGAAAGGAUUUGGUGUAAUUCCUCUUUUACCAUUUAGUCUUUGGAAAAGUUUUUGCCAUAUUCUAGCUCUCUCUCUCUCUCUCUCUCUCUCUCUCAGCUCUCUCUGUCCCCCUUACAUUUUGUUGGACCUCUCUGUAUACAAAUGGAUGCAUGCACGACGGCACGAGGGAGGUGGAAUUGGAUGUUUUCUAACGGGGCAACGAAGAAGGGCAUCUUUUCCACCGUUUUGUCUUUCCUGAGAGCUCACUCACAUAUAUAGGUGUCGAUCUGAUCCAUUUGCCAUAAGUGGCGUGCCCACUUCGCCUGGCACGCGAGGAGUCCUGCUCUGCUUUUCCGGUCGUCCUCUCUCCUUCUUCAAUUGGAACUAGAUUCCCUCUUUUAUAUCUUCCAAACUAAUUAAAGGAGCUGCGUACGUAAUUGUUGCCUGCACCAAGUAUAACAUGCACUCGGGCACUCCUUAAAAUUCAAAUUCAAUCCUAGAUAUCUUAAAUUGGUAGAAAAUUUUUCCAAUGUAUUUUACGACAUUCACCGUAUGACAUUCAAAUGAUGAUAUACAUUUUCACAAUAAAAAAUUUUAAAUGCCUGUUUUUAAUUAAUCCACUAAUUUUUUUUUUUUCCUUCAUCAAUCUUUCGGAACUUCUUCAUGGCAUGGUAAUAAUUAGAUUUUCAAAUAAGCUCGUGUGUGUGUGCGCGCGCGCGCGUGUAUAUAUAUAUAUAUAUAUAUAUAUAGAAUUAGGCUACUAUACUAUCUAUAGUAUUGAGCUCCGGUACUAUAGUAUUUGUUUUCGAUCUUAGGGCGUUCAAGUCAACGAUCCACACCGUUAAAUAUGAUCUAGAGUAUAUGAAUUUCUUAGGAAUAAAAUUUUAGUUUUUUUCGAUAUCGUUUACUUAGUAAAUAAAUUAUAUCAAAAUGGAAGGUGAAAAUUGAAUAAUUUUUAAAAUUUGAGCAUAGGACUUUUAAAUUCAAGAUCAAGAAUGUUAACCUUAAUCUAUAUAGUUUAAAGUAUUUUCUAUCAAAAUUUGAAGAAAU
rnacentral:lncRNA from 1 species